GGAGAAAGAUUAGAGAUCUCUUUCCUGAUUGUAGAGAUCUCAGUGAAAUGAGAUGCAAAGUUUGUGGUGGACAAGGUGGUGGAAGGAGGGGGAGUCACAGGGCGAAGAAGUGCGUCAAAAGUGUGAAACAGGUGUUUGGGUUGGUGGGACAGUGUGCUUAUGAGGGUGUUGAAGUAGCUUACUUUUGCAGAGGAAAGAGCCAU